GUUUUAAUGGCGAUUAGAGCUACGCCUAGCACUGCUACCAAAUUGUCACCUUUUGAAUUGAUGACAGGGAGAAAGAUGGUUUUACCACAGCAUUUACUAUAUCGUACUUCGGAUCAUAACUUGAUCAAUGCUGCCACUACGCAUCAGUAUAUCGAAGAUUUGCACAAGAAUUUACAGCAUGCGUUUGCUUUUGCCCAAAAGAAUCUAGAAAAAGCAGCCACAGG
rnacentral:lncRNA from 1 species